rnacentral:rRNA from 1 species
UACGUAGGUGGCAAGCGUUGUCCGGAUUUACUGGGCGUAAAGAGCGCGCAGGCGGUCGUUCAAGUCGCGUGUGAAAGCCCCCCGGCUCAACUGGGGAGGGUCACGCGAUACUGAUCGACUGGAAGGCAGGAGAGGGUAGUGGAAUUCCCGGUGUAGUGGUGAAAUGCGUAGAUAUCGGGAGGAACAUCAGUGGCGAAGGCGGCUGCCUGGCCCAAUACUGACACUCAGGUGCGACAGCGUGGGGAGCAAACAGG